rnacentral:rRNA from 1 species
UCGUCAGCUCGUGUCGUGAGAUGUAGGGUUAAUUCCCGCAACCGAGCGCAACCCUCGUUCCAUGUUGCCAGCAUGUAAUGGUGGGGACUCAUGGGAGACUGCCGGGGUCAACUCGGAGGAAGGUGAGGACGACGUCAAAUCAUCAUGCCCCUUAUGUCUUGGGCUUCACGCAUGCUACAAUGGCCGGUACAAUGGGUUGCGAUACUGUGAGGUGGAGCUAAUCCCAAAAAGCCGGUCUCAGUUCGGAUUGGGGUCUGCAACUCGACCCCAUGAAGUCGGAGUCGCUAGUAAUCGCAGAUCAGCAACGCUGCGGUGAAUACGUUCCCGGGCCUUGUACACACCGCCCGUCAAGUCACGAAAGUUGGUAACACCCGAAGCCGGUGGCCUAACCCUUGUGGGGGGAGCCGUACGAAGGUGGGACCAG